rnacentral:tRNA from 1 species
UGUAGCUCAGUGGUAGAGCACUUGCCUAGCAUGUGUCAGGCUCUGGGUUCAAUCCCCAGCA